CCUGAGAAACCCAAAAGAUCGAAUGGGGAGAUUCAUCGUCAGCUCAUUUUGUAUAUGUAUUAGUUACGAUGCGGGUUACUACUUGUAGUAUUGCCUGCACGUUCUUGUAUAUUUAGUUGCAAGAUGUUGUCGGCGUGCACUUCUUCCCUAGUAGGACGUCGCGACCCGUUGGAUGUCGGUCUACGGCCCAAGUGAUAGCCUUUAAUGUAAUUUAAAAAUCAUUGAAGAUCCUUGGUGUUUUCUGACCGGCUAUUCGGCGGUACUCGUACGGUAUUUAGCCGCUAAUUUAUUAGCGUCCAUGUCCGUCACAAGCGAGGCCAAUUUACUGAUAGUGCGGACCUAGUGCCGUCGUUGGUAUUGGCCAGCUGUUGGUUGUACGUGAUUCUGGGACUGGCUAAAAUUAAUUACCGGUCGGCGAUGCUACUGCUUUGGGUACUUUCAGG
rnacentral:rRNA from 1 species